AAACAUGGUUCUUUGCUUAAAAUUAUAAAGAAUCUAACCUGCCCAAUGAUUUUAAUUUAAUGGCCGCAGUAUUCUAACUGUGCAAAGGUAGCAUAAUCAUUUGUCUUCUAAUUAGAGACUAGAAUGAAGGGUUUAACGAAAUUUUAACUGUCUCUUAUAUACUAAUAAAAAUUUAAAUUUUAGGUAAAAAUUCCUAAAUAAGACUAAAAGACGAGAAGACCCUAUCGAGCUUAAUUUUAAUGUAAAUAUAUUAGAUAUAAUUAUAUUAAUUUUUAUUUAAAAAUUAAGGUUGGGGUGACCUAGGACUAAUAUAAUCGUCCAUAAAAUUCUUAUCAUUUAAGUUAUGAUCCAUAAUUUUGAUUACUAAAUUUAGUUACCGUAGGGAUAACAGCAUAAUUUUUUUAAAGAGUUCAUAUUGAAAAGAAAGAUUAUGACCUCGAUGUUGGACUAGAAUUUCUUAAAGAUGCAACAGUCUUUAAACUUGGUCUGUUCGACCAUUAGAAUUCUACAUGAUCUGA
rnacentral:rRNA from 1 species